AGGGUAACUUCCUGAUGUUGCCAUGGCAUUUGUAAACUGUAUGGCACUGGCGGGAGUGUCUUUAGCAUGUUAGCGCAUUAUAUAAUUAGUGUAUAAUGAGCAGUGAGACGACUGGAGGUCACUUUCAUCGCCAUCUUGGUUUUGGUGGGUUUUGGACAGCUUCUUUACGCAUGCUGUUUUAUCAGCAAGGUCUUUGUGACCUGUAUCUUGUGCCGACCUCCUAUCUCAUCCUGUGACUAGGAAUGCCUUAACCUCCUGGAAUGCAGCUCAAUCACAGUCUGGAAGUCUGCUCACAGUCUCAAGGUUGGCAUAUCCCCUAGAGCCCCCAGACUCCUCAUCCCAUGGAGACCAACAUGGCCAGGGGAGGGCCAGAGCAGGGCCUUCUAAAUCACAGACCCCAGGGCAGGAGCCCCUCCGGUCUGGAUCUAAGGAUGGUAUUUUCAACAAUUCCUAAAUUUUUAUCCUAGGCUCUCCAAAUGGGAGUCUAAAGGUCUCAAAACAUGGUCCAGAAGAAGUAUGCAAAAAUGUAAAUUCCUAGGCCCCAACCCAGACCUAUGAAUCAGAUGAUCUGUAUGGGGGUUCAAGGAAUCUAUAUUAUUAAACAAUCUUCCUAAAUGACUUGUAUUCAUACUAAAGCUUGAGAAUUGCUAUCAAACAGCUAGAAGUUGGAGUGAAGGGUCCUGCCUUUCCCAUGAAAUUCAUCAACUCUAUGCCCUCAAAAGCUGGGCUCUUGGAUGAGCUGCUCUCCAUUCUAGAGACAUUACCAGCUAGGUAGCCUGCUGGUCCUCAGGAAGUUAAGCCCAGACUCUUCAGCACAGAAUCAGAUAAACACUGAUUACAUUGUACUCUACAGUUCUGAGAACACCAUUACUUAAUUCCCGGCAAGUUGCAAUGUAAUUGAGUAGGUUGUAGUUUUUUGGGUUUGGGGUUUUUUUGUUUUUUAAAUAUAUCAGGCGUAGUUAGCCAGCUUCCUAGAAACACCAUGAUCUCUUGGUGAAAAUUCCAGAAAUAUGCAUCACUUCCUAAUUAAAGUAGGGAAUUUUUAAAAAUUAUUAAACCACAUGCUUUCUAAUUCCUAUUGCCCUUUCUUUUCACCCACCAUUCAGCAGUCAGCAGACACUUUCUGGGUACAACAGGGUAGGACCAUCCAGGCAGAACAAAAGCCAUUGAUCAUGAACUACAGAGGAGAGUUUGGUAAAUGGACACCAGAAACCAUGGCCUACAGGGGCCUGGUUUUCUCCCAUCUAAAUACUAACUAGGCCCAACGCUAGUUGGGCUUAGCUUCCUAGAUCAGAUGAAAUUGGGCACAUUUAGGGUUGGGGGUAUGGCUCUCUAUUGUAAGUAGCAAGAGUUUGAGAGAAGAAAAAAGGGAUUUUCUUUUUUUUUUCUUUUAAAUUUUAGAGCAUUAACUUUAAACAUCAAGAUCCAAACCCCAAGGAUUCAGAGAAUCUUGUACUAUAAACCAUUUGUAUUAGUCAGGGUUCUCCAGAGAAACAGAACCCAUAGGAGGUAUAGAGAUAGAGAAAUAUGGAAUUGGCUCCCAUGAUUAUGGAGGCUGAGAAGUCCCUCAAUCUGCUGUCUGUGAGCUGGAGACCUAGGAAAGCUUAGCUGGUGGUACAAACCAGCCCAAGUGCAAAGGCCCAAGAACUAAGAGCACCAUUGUCAGAGAGCAGGAAAAGACAGAUGUCCCAGCUCAAAAAGAGAGAGCAAAUUCACCUUCCUUCCACCAUUUUAUUCCGUCCUGUUCCAUUCCUCAACAGGUUGGAUGAUGAGGGAGAUCUUUAUCCAUCUCAAGUUUUUUGUGCAAAUAUGGAAUACAAAUGAAAAAUACUUAAAGCACAUCAUCAUUGAUUUCCAACUUAGACUAGUUUAACUUCCCUUUUUCUUCUAUCCUGUCAGUUCCUUGAGGGAUCCUCUCUCCUUGUUCAUCUCUGCAUCUCUAGUAAUUAGCACAGUGCCAGGCACAUGGUAAUAUGGCUAAAACAGUGGAUUAUUGGUCUCCAACAUAAUUAAGCCCAUCCAAAAGAAAAACCAACCUCAUAAAUCUGCUUUGCAAAGUUCAUAAACAAUGGAUAUGCUAUGUCUCAAAGGUGCUGGCCAAAAAAAUUUAAGAACUUGGGAAUUAUGUGUUAUUUUGUUUGUUUUUUUCACCAAGCCUACUUUUCUGUCACAAGAGCCCAUAUCAACAACACACCCAUGUAUGUCCUUCUUUUUAUCUACUUUUCUCCAUGAAGUUUGUCACCAUCAACUGUUAAAACUGUAAAGAUUUGAUCAGCUAAAUAAGUGGUCUUUGAACUAAUUCCUCUCGUACUUCCUAAAGGAACUUUGAAAAACUAUGUAUCCCCUUGCACAUUUUCAAGCAGACACCUAAGAUUUUUCAUCAUAAAUUUGAAUAACUUCAAAAUAUGUACUUAUUAGCAUAUUGUAAAUAUUGAUUUUUAAAUAAAAUAUAUCACACUUUGUAUCCAAUGAACUCUAAACACCAUAGCAAUUUGACACUUACUCUCCCACCCUCAGUCUUAAAAAUUCACCAACAACCUCUUUUUUAACAACCGAAAAAUUUGUAUUAUUCCUUUUUAAAAUUUUGAAGUUUUCUGGAUUGAAUUAUUUUUAUAAUGAUUUUUAGUAUACAACUGACCAAAGCAACAUAAAUAUAUAGCAUAUUUUGAUAAAUAAUUAUAAAACAUAGCAAGUUAUGUGUUAUUGGAAAAUUAAACUAAAUGAAUGGAUCUUUUUAAAUUAGUUCGGGUAUCUGUGGCUGUUCCUAACUGUUAAAAUGAGACAGAGUCAGCGUCAAUUCUACUCUUAUUUUUUAUUUUUUUAGACGUAAGCCCUGAGAAAACUUGUUCAAUUAAAUAAGUAAUGAGAAUGUUAGGCAUUUUCUGAUAAAAAUGUCACUCUGUUAUUUGAAUGCCUUCUUGAUUAUAAGUCAAAAAGUACAUAGUGAUCUAUUAUCAAAAACUAUUGGCCUAUCUGUUGACAACUUGGGUAGGUCCUCCUUUAAUUUUAUUGAAAGCAAAGAAUUGGAAACUACCUAAUUUACAAAAAAAAGAAGAAGAAGAAGAAGAAGAAGAAAUGUGUUACCUAAUUAUUAGAGCUCACUUUCUAAGUUUCUAGGAAGUAUGACCCAAAAAAGCUUGGCCAAGACUUAUCACAUGGCUGUUGAUUAUACCAUCACCCUUUUACUUACAGGCGUCUUGCUUAUGGACCUAAAAAAGAUGAAACUGGAGUUAGAAACAAAAACAGAAAAUUGUAAAUUGUGCAUUUGGGGACUUUUCUCCUUGACUGUGAACAGAGACCUAUAUACAAUGCCAAAUUUCAUUUUUUAAGAAUGUCUCAAAAUGCAGAGUAAAGAAAUGACAGAAGGACAGACACUUGGGGAUAUUCAUGUAUAUACUAAUAACUUCUUCCCAAAUAUGACUGAAGACAAUACACUUAGCAGAACUGAAAUCAAUAUAUUAACAUCUGAAAGGGAGAAAUUAAUCCUAAUUCAAUCAAGCCAGUUUUCUAAAGUUCAGGUCAUUGCAUAUUAGAUUUACAUUUUGGAAAAAUUUUUUUUGCUUUUGAACCAAUAGAUUUCUGCUUUUGACAGUAUAGUUUAAAUACUUUAUGUAAGUUGACAGCAAGAGAAAGAACUUAGUCACCAAUAAGUAUAGUACAAGAUUAUGGAAAGCACAUUAAGGACCUCUAAGCACAUUAGUUAGAGUAUAAUCUGCAAUAUAUUCCUGUUAAAUUACUUAAUGCUAAUUCUGUGGACUGAAUUUCAUUCCCCCAAAAUUUAUAUUUUGAAGGCUUAACCCUUAAUGUGACUAUAUUUGGAAAUAGUGCCUGUGAAGAGGUGAUAAAGGUUAAAUGAGGUCACAGGCUGGGGUCCUACUUCACUAGGACUGGUGUCCUUUAAAGAAGAGGACAAGAUGCCAGAUGCUCUCGUUCAUGUGCCCCCUUUCUCUCUCUCUCUCUCUCGCUGGUUCACUCUCUCUCUCUCUCCUCCUGCCCCCCAUGUGAGGAUAUAAGGAGAAGGCAGCCAUCUGCCAGCCAGGAAGAGAGCCCACACCAGAACUUGACCAUGCUGACACCCUAAUCUUGGAUUUCUAGCCUCCAGAGUUAUGAGAAAAUAAAUUUCUGUUAUUUAAACCACCUGGUGCAUGGUAUUUUGUUAUGGCAACACAAGCUGACUUAUAUACCUAAUAACUACAUGGCAGGAAUUAAUACAUGAACGGGAAAGUUGUUCAUGAGUGACAGUGAGCAGGAGACCUGUACCUUCAUCAGAAAUGAAUAUAGAUUUCAUAUUUUGCUAACUUUUAGCAAAAAUUAAUGAAAGUGUUUCUCCUAUAAAUCUGAGUAAAUAUUUAAGAAAAUACAAAAUACUAACUUACCUCUAAUAUGUGUUUCUUUUGUUAGAAAAUGUAGCCUUGAUAUGUUGGAAGAAACUGUAGUCUUUUCACCUUGAAGUUAUGCAAAUUACACUCCUGAG
rnacentral:lncRNA from 1 species